CCUGGUGAAAUUAGCGCUGUGGAACCACCCGAUCCCAUCCCGAACUCGGAAGUGAAACGCAGCUGCGCCGAUGGUAGUGUG
rnacentral:rRNA from 1 species